rnacentral:rRNA from 1 species
UGAUCAUGGCUCAGAUUGAACGCUGGCGGCAGGCUUAACACAUGCAAGUCGAGCGGAGAGAGGUAGCUUGCUACUGAUCUUAGCGGCGGACGGGUGAGUAAUACUUAGGAAUCUGGCUAUUAGUGGGGGACAACAUUUCGAAAGGGAUGCUAAUACCGCAUACGUCCUACGGGAGAAAGCAGGGGAUCUUCGGACCUUGCGCUAAUAGAUGAGCCUAAGUCGGAUUAGCUAGUUGGUGGGGUAAAGGCCUACCAAGGCGACGAUCUGUAGCGGGUCUGAGAGGAUGAUCCGCCACACUGGGACUGAGACACGGCCCAGACUCCUACGGGAGGCAGCAGUGGGGAAUAUUGGACAAUGGGGGGAACCCUGAUCCAGCCAUGCCGCGUGUGUGAAGAAGGCCUUAUGGUUGUAAAGCACUUUAAGCGAGGAGGAGGGUACUGGUAUUAAUACUACCAGGUACUGGACGUUACUCGCAGAAUAAGCACCGGCUAACUCUGUGCCAGCAGCCGCGGUAAUACAGAGGGUGCGAGCGUUAAUCGGAUUUACUGGGCGUAAAGCGUGCGUAGGCGGCUAAUUGAGUCGGAUGUGAAAUCCCCGAGCUUAACUUGGGAAUUGCAUUCGAUACUGGUUAGCUAGAGUGUGGGAGAGGAUGGUAGAAUUCCAGGUGUAGCGGUGAAAUGCGUAGAGAUCUGGAGGAAUACCGAUGGCGAAGGCAGCCAUCUGGCCUAACACUGACGCUGAGGUACGAAAGCAUGG